GUCGUGGUAGCUCAGCUGGAUAGAGCUUCCGCCUUCUAAGCGGACGGUCUUGGGUUCGAGUCCCAACCACGACGCCA
rnacentral:tRNA from 1 species